rnacentral:rRNA from 1 species
UACGUAGGGACCAAGCGUUGUCCGGAAUCAUUGGGCGUAAAGAGCGUGUAGGCGGCUUGUUAAGUCUUGCGUGAAAUCUCGGGGCUCAACCCCGAGCGGUCGUGAGAAACUGGCAGGCUAGAGUGCGGGAGAGGAGAGUGGAAUUCCUGGUGUAGCGGUGAAAUGCGCAGAUAUCAGGAAGAACACCAAUGGCGAAGGCAGCUCUCUGGGACGGUACUGACGCUGAGACGCGAAAGCGUGGGGAGCGAACAGG